rnacentral:lncRNA from 1 species
GCUCAUUGAGAGGUAAAUGAUAACUCGAUAACAGGAGGGAUAAAUAGAAUCUGGUGCAAAUAAGAGGAGAUUUAUUUCAAUAGUGGGGAAGAAUUGAUAACGAAGAAGACCCGACGGCUGAGUUCAAGAAGCCAAGCCGGGGGCCAUCAAAUAAAAGGACCAUCAAUGAAGGACUGCUCUUGAGAGCCAUUAUUUCUACUGAUGAAUUUGAUAAGGGGCAUGCUUGUAAAAAUGAACAUUUGGGAAGGUUUUUAGGUUUGAAAACAACCCUUUCAGAGAAAGAAAAAAGGGACUUUGGCGAUUCUCUCUCUCAAACUCCCUGACCCAAAAAACCCUAUUUUUGCACAAACUUCCAGUGACAUUCGAGCUUAUUCUCACAACUCAAUCCGUGUUCUAAACCCCCUAAUUUUUUCUUUGGUUAUUUGUUUUAGAUUUUAAAAAGUUAUUUGAACUUUUUGGUUUCCUUAGGGCUUUUACAAAUAAUUAAGUUAUUUUGUCAUAUACUUGCAAUGGGCAGUUUCUUGCAUUCAUUCUAAAUAUUGUUUUGGCUUUAAGAAUAAAUGUUGCAGAAGCUUGGUUCGUUAAUACGUGGAUUACUUUCAGUUUCUCAGUAUCUUACUAAAUUGAAGAACCUAUGCAAUAAGAUCUCACAAUAUGAUGAGAAGUCACAAAUUGAAUAUAGCCGUAUGCAUAGGUUGAUUACUUUGAUAAAAACAAAAAUAAAUGUUCUAGAUAUUUGCUUAUUUUGUGGAUUUUGUGCCUUCUUUUGUAUAUAAAUAUUUGCUAUUUUGUUUUUCUUUUCUUUUUUCUCAAUUACAUGUAUUUCUUUUUUUAAUCUCCAUAUUUUAAUUAAAUAUUCUAUUUUAGUUUUAGUUGUUUAUUACUCCAUAAAUGGAGAUUGUUCCCAAGUUCAAGCUUUGUGCAUUUUCAUUUUUUUUUAAAAAAAAAUUGAUACGAAAAAUUGAUGUUUUAUACAAUUUGUCGGUUGUUUAAUUGCUAAUUCCUCCAAGGAAUAUAGGGAACCAUGGAAAUUUUAUUUUAUUUUCCUAAUAUGUUUUUAUUAUUACUAGAUUUUUCUAGUUCUAGCAUUUUCUCUCUUUAUUUUAAUUUUUGGGAAUUUUUCCUAUUUACUUAUUUUUACCAGUCUGAUUAGUAAAUCAGUGAGAUCCAACCGAACCAAUGCCUCACCGGUUUGACCUCCACUCCAGUCCUAACUCCUAACAGCAUUCACUGAACAUACAUCAUUUAAAUGUUAUGAUUUCUACAACUGAGUCUAUUCCAGCUUUAUUUGCCAAACACCCCAAAAAACACACUAUCAGUAAAUGCAUAACAAAAAANNNNNNNNNNNNNNNNNNNNGGGAGGGAGGGAUGGAUUAGGGAAAGGAAGGAGAAAUUUGUAAAAACGAAAAAGAAAUUUGAGCCUAAAAAAUGGUCUAUUUCAUAUUAUUUUUAUGCACAGUUCAUUUUCAAUUACUCAAAAGCCAUCAAAUUUGCUGAACCUCCAAGUAAUGGGUCUGAGGUAGAAAUGGAGUUGGAAUGACUCGAGGCAAGUUUCAGGUGCUAUAUCCCUUGUAAAUCAAGUAGCACACAUGACUCAACCAACUCACCAAAUACCUUACCCAUGAUUGUGAAUUCCAUAUUACUCGCUACAAGUUGAGUUGAGUCAUGAGUUUGUCUAAGGCUGCAACUGGGCCGGGUAAGGAUAGGGUCGAGCCUAUCCCAUACUUGACCUGACUGCAGUUUGGGGGACCUGGACCGCUAAGCUCCAAAUUAUCGCUACUCAAGUCUGACAUGGCAAGGGUCCGGAGUGAACGUGCAACUAAUGUGAUCUUUUGCCGGGGGAAUAAUAUUUUUUUUUCAUUAAUAAUUAUACCCCUUUUGUUUUGGCAAGAGAUCACUUACAAUUAAAUAACAAUUUACUAUACUUGAGAAUAUAAAGAUGAAUCUGCAAAAAUAAAAGCGGAGUGCCGGAGAUUACCUCAACCGGGCGUAUUACACCCCACACCGAAUCACCACCAUCCGAUGGCACAGGAUCAACGGUCUUUGUUCAAUCUCAACCGAGAAAGCUAAUUUCGGCCAAGCUCUUCAAUGGAACCCUUGUGCUCACGCAAGAUCCUUAGGAUCAAUCUCCAAAAUACUGAGCCAAAAAUUCUCCCUUCUUUAUUUUUCUUGAACCCUAAGACUUUGAAUAAAAUUGGGAGAGAUGAAAUUUUUCUAUAUCCAAGAGAGAGAGACGUACUCCCCCUUUUAUAGAUGCCAAAGAAGAGAGAGAAUAGAUAGGACCCCUCAUAAAAAUAAAGUGAGAGAGAGAGAAGAAUGGGGCGUGAGCCCUUUUUGAGAUAAAUAUGAGAUAGAGAGGGAGUGGGGGCACUUGACCCCUUAUUUACUUUUGGAUAAAGGUGAUAGAAAGUAAGAGUUGCGUGAGAGAGGUGAGAGAGAGAGAGAGGCACGUGAAAUAGGAGAGAGAUAGGACCCCCAUAAAAUUGGGUCUUGGAUUUCCAUUGCUUGUCUCAUAAGAUUGAAUUUUAACCGUCGAUCAAGGGUGACUUGUGGGGUGAGAGAUCUGAGCCAUCAAUUCCAUAGAUAGGCCAUCAACAUGCUAUGGAAUGUGCUGGAACCUUUAUCCCCCUCUUCCUUUGAACAUUAUCCCAUCAAAUAAAAAUUAAUUAAAUAAAACUGAGUUUAUUCAAAAUAUAUUCAUAAACCUUAUUAUGCCCUCAAAAAAAAAAAAAUUCACUAAAAUUGUUUUAAGAGAGGACACACUUAUCAACUCAAAAUUAUUUAGAUAAGCCAUAUCAAUUUACCAAUUUAAAACUCAUAUUAACUUAUCAUCUCAAAUUUAUUUGAGAUAAACCAAAAUCAAGUAAUCUAUAAAAUUCAUAUAAAAAUAAAUUUUAGAAUAUUAUUUGAAUAUUUAAAUCAUUAAAAAUCAAUAUCUUUAAUUUUAUAAACCCAAAUAUAUAUAUAAAAUAUCCAAAGGUAUAUAAAAAUUCAAAUAAUAAUUCUAAAAUAAUAUCUAUCAUAAAAGAAACAUAAUUAAAUUAAUUUGAUGGGAAAAUGAUCCAUAUGGUCAAGAAAUUGCAUCAAUAAUGGGGCACUCCACCUUCAACUGUGGACUACAGACCACACUUGCUUUAUCAUGCUGAUCCAGUGUUGCUCAUGACCUACAGUCCAAGUAGGGGCUCAUUAGCUGGUCACCAAAGUCUGGCUGAUGGGCCAAGGUGUCGCAAUCCCAGUCUGCGGAUUUCAGGUUCUCCCCUAAAGACGAGUGAAGGUUAUCUAGACUUGAUGCGACCACAGUUCUAUUAUGCAUAGAGGUAUCUCUCACACAUUCAUACGCUUCACCCUAAAAGGUGGUUUGCUUGCUUUCUCGAAACGGUCUAUCAAUAUGCAUGUCGUGUGAUGGUACAUGGAUGAGACUUUGGCCCCUGUCUCUGUAGGCCACCAUCACACACAAGGGUCACACAGUCCCUCGGCUUACUCAUCUGGGCAUAUACUCCGACCUCAUCAAGGGAUGACCUAUUAGAAUCCUUCUCGGUUUAUUCACUAUGCCCAGGUAACAUGGGUUUUUUCCAACCGACUGGCCUAGACAGACAAGUACAGCCCGGUAUCUGCAAACAUCGUUUGCAUAGUAUGGUCCACGAGAGACCACACUCCCAUUGAGUUCAAGAUCAACUAUAUCAAAUGUUUUGUUACAAUCGCUCAUAAGGCUUUUAAAGGCCACAUGAACCCAACAUCUCCCACUUGGCCUUUGAAGGCCUUACAUUCUCUCUUCCUCACUUUCUCUCAUCCUCAUCUCUCUCACUUUCUCACAAAAACAUUAGGGGCAACCCCCUUAGUUAGAGGAUCUGCAAUAAUCAGAUCAAUCGAUAUCUAGCUAAUCUCGAUCUCUUUCAGUCACACCUCAUUCCUCAGGUGAUAGAAAUACGGUUUGAUGUGCUUGGAGUUCUUGUGAAAUCGUAGCUCCUUAGAUACGCAAAUUGCCACCGUGUUGUCAUAGAAAAUCCGCUCUGCCUCACAAUGCAAGGGAUGAAAGCUGAGCUGAUUAAGAAACUUUUUAAUCCAUACGGCCUCCUUGGCCGCAAGACAGCACGUCACAUAUUCAACUUCUAUGGUGGAUAACGCCACUAUAUCAUGUUUCUUUGACUUCCAAGAAACCGCACCCCCUCCAAACAUAAACAAAUAUCCCGACGUAGACUUCACAUCAUCUGGAUUCGCGAGAUAGCUGGCAUCUGAAUAUCCUUCUAUUGUUAUUUCAGUUCCCCCUUUCUAUGUGAGAGCGUAGUUCAUUGUCCCUUUUAAGCACCUGAGGAUUCUCUUAACCGCCUUCCAAUGUUCCUCUCCAGGAUUGCUUUGGAAUCCACUAACCAAGCUCAUGAUGAAAGACAAGUUAAGCUUUGUUCUCGUCAUGCCGUACAUAAGGGACCCAACUACGCUCCUAUAAGGCACCCUCUCCAUGGCUCUUUUGUCAAUUUCUUCGAUAGGACACAUUUUAUUACUGAGCUUCAUCUUUUUAUCUAUUGGAGUAGACAUAGGCUUACACUUAUCCAUAUCAAACUUUUCAGGUAUCCUCUUGUAGUAGGUUGCCUGGGAAAGUUGGAUUUUGUUUCUUAUUAUCUUGAUGCCCAACACAUAUGAAGCUUCUCCAAGAUCCUUCAUAUUGAAGUGUUUGGCAAAGAAAUUUUUCGUCUCUACUAUCAGGGCAAUCGAGCUACUAACAAUGAGCAUGUCAUCCACAUAUAAAGAAAUAAAAACCACAUCACUCCCACUGACCUUUUGAUAGAUUCUUAUUAUUUAAAGAACCCAGCAAAAGCAAGGGUCUCUUGAAAUUUUAUGUACCACUGUCGUGAUGCUUAUUUUAGGUCACAGAGGGAUUUAAUCGGCUUACACAGCAGGUUCUCCUUUCUUUUUUCCACAAAUCCCUCAGGUUGAGUCAUGUAAAUCUCUUCUUCCAAGUCACCAUUCAAAAAAGUUGUUUUGACAUCCAUCUGAUGAACCUCAAAAUCAAAAUGAGCUGCUAUGGCUACUAGGAUUCGUAUAGAUGGGAAUUUGGCAACAAGGGAAAAGGUUUCUUCAUGAUCUAUCCCUUCUUUUUGGGUAAAUUGAUAUGGCUUAUCUAAAUAAUUUUGAGUUGAUAAGUGCGCCCUAUCUUAAAAAUAUUUGAGUGAAUUUUUUAUUUUGAGGGCAUGAUAAGGCUUAUGAAUAUAUUUUGAAUAAAUUCAAUUUUAUUUAAUUAAUUUUUAUUUGAUAGGAUAAUGUUCAAAGGAAGAGGGGCAUAAAGGUUCCAGUACAUCCGUAGCAUGUUGAAAGCCCAUCUAUGUAAUGGAUGGCUCAGAUCUCUCACCCCACAAGUCACCCUUGAUCGAUGGUUAAAAUUCAAUCUUAUGAGGCAAGCAAUGGAAAUCCAAGACCCAAUUUUAUGGGGAUCCUAUAUUUCUCCUCUUUCACGUGCCUCUCUCUCUCACCUCUCUCACGCAACACCUACUUUCUAUCAACUUUAUCUCUCACUUUAUCUUUAUGAGCGACACUAUCUAUUCUCUCUCUUCUUUGGCUUCUAUAAAAGGGAGAGUACGUCUCUCUCUCUUGGAUAUAGAAAAUUUUCAUCUCUACCAAUUUUAUUCAAAGUCCUAUGGCUCAAGAAAAAUAAAGAAAGGAGAAUUUUUGGCUCAGUAUUUUGGGGAUUGAUCACAAGGAUCUGUCGUGAGCAUAAGGGUUCCAUUGAAGAGCUUGGUCAAAAUUAGCUUUCGCGGUUGAGAUUGAACGAAGACCGUCGAUCCCACGCCAUCGGAUGGUGGUGAAUCGAUGUGGGGUGUAAUACGCCCGGUUUAGGUAAUCUCCAGCACUCUCCACUUUUAUUUUUGCAGAUUCAUCUUUAUAUUCUCAAGCAUAGUAAAUUGUUAUUUUAUUGUAUGUGAUCUCUUGCCAAAACAAAAUGGGUAUAAUUAUUAAUAAAUAAAUAUAUAUAUAUAUNNNNNNNNNNNNNNNNNNNNNNNNNNNNNNNNNNNNNNNNNNNNNNNNNNNNNNNNNNNNNNNNNNNNNNNNNNNNNNNNNNNNNNNNNNNNNNNNNNNNNNNNNNNNNNNNNNNNNNNNNNNNNNNNNNNNNNNNNNNNNNNNNNNNNNNNNNNNNNNNNNNNNNNNNNNNNNNNNNNNNNNNNNNNNNNNNNNNNNNNNNNNNNNNNNNNNNNNNNNNNNNNNNNNNNNNNNNNNNNNNNNNNNNNNNNNNNNNNNNNNNNNNNNNNNNNNNNNNNNNNNNNNNNNNNNNNNNNNNNNNNNNNNNNNNNNNNNNNNNNNNNNNNNNNNNNNNNNNNNNNNNNNNNNNNNNNNNNNNNNNNNNNNNNNNNNNNNNNNNNNNNNNNNNNNNNNNNNNNNNNNNNNNNNNNNNNNNNNNNNNNNNNNNNNNNNNNNNNNNNNNNNNNNNNNNNNNNNNNNNNNNNNNNNNNNNNNNNNNNNNNNNNNNNNNNNNNNNNNNNNNNNNNNNNNNNNNNNNNNNNNNNNNNNNNNNNNNNNNNNNNNNNNNNNNNNNNNNNNNNNNNNNNNNNNNNNNNNNNNNNNNNNNNNNNNNNNNNNNNNNNNNNNNNNNNNNNNNNNNNNNNNNNNNNNNNNNNNNNNNNNNNNNNNNNNNNNNNNNNNNNNNNNNNNNNNNNNNNNNNNNNNNNNNNNNNNNNNNNNNNNNNNNNNNNNNNNNNNNNNNNNNNNNNNNNNNNNNNNNNNNNNNNNNNNNNNNNNNNNNNNNNNNNNNNNNNNNNNNNNNNNNNUAUUAUUCCCCGACAAAAGAUCACACUAGUCGCACUUUCAUUGGUAUCAGAGCAAGGUUAUUAGGAGUCUUUUCUCUUAUAUUGAGUCGAGAUUUUGAUUGAGAAUAAAAGAUAUGGCUGCACGUACCUUCAUCUUUGAGAUCCUUAAAACCAAGAGGUUCGAUGGAACCAAUUAUGCCUCUUGGAGAAGGAAGAUUCAAUGUGUUCUUUAUGAGGAAAACUUGAAUGAGAUGCUCUAUGAGCGUCAUCCUCAUCGUCCAAGUGACGACUCAUCUCAAGUAAUCAAAACUGAGUAUGCCACUUGGAAGAGGAAGAACAUGAGAUGCAAGAACAUGCUUUUAUGCGUCAUGACUGACUCGUAUGCUUCAGAGUAUGAGUCAAUUUUUACUGCAAAAGAAAUCUUUGAUAGACUUGAGAGGGACUAUGAUGAACCCUCUCUAAUAAAACAAGCCAUAGCUAUGAAGAAGUACAAUGAUUUAAAAAAGGCGGGUACCAAGUUUGCCGAUCAUGUGCACAUCUUUCGUGCACUAGUCAGAGAAUUGGAAGACACCGGCAUGAAACCGUCUGAACCCAUUUAAGUGAUUCAUCUCAUGAAUUCACUUCUUAACUCAUGGGAAACUUUUGUGUCUUCCCUCUCGACGAGAAGGAAAGCACCAAGGCUGGGGGAGCUCAUCACAACAAUCAAAGGAGAAGAAAAAAGGAGGAACUCAAGGCAUGCACUGACUACAACUCCUAGAGAAGCCGUACAUAUGGUAAAAUCUACUCCCACUUUUAAACCUAAGAGCGCAAAGGGUAGAACUUAUUUUGGAAAGAGAGGAGACUUUAGAAGGAGAGAUUUUCGAAAUAAAGGAGAAAAGAGAGAGCCCAGAACUUGCUUUAUUUGCAAGAAAAUAGGCCACAUAGUCAGGAAUUGUCGGUCCAACAAAUUUGGUGUGACCAACAAAGAACUGGCUUGUGUGGUCUGUGAGACGUUGCUAGCCGACCCCAAGGGAACCUCUUGGUGUCUUGACUCAAGAGCUACAUCUCAUGUCACAAACACCAAGGAAGGCUUCCGCUCUUUUACUCCCAUAAAGCCGGGAGAGCAACAUAGGAGGAAACCAGAAGACUGAUGUGCUUGGAGUAGGAAAUUUUGAAGUAAAAUUGAAAAGUGGGAGCAUCUUGAUCCUAAAGCAAGAAUGCUUCUGAUAUGAGGAAGUGCUUCGUUUCGGUUCCCAAGAUGUCCAUGGCUAGAUUUAUGACCACUUUCAUUGAAAAGAAGGUGGUAUUCAAGAAGGGGAAUGAUGUUGUCAUGACUGGACGUCUUAUGGAUGGAUUAUUUGCUAUUGAAAUAAAAGAGAACGUUGCUUAUGUCUCGUCCCCUAGUGAAUUGGAUGCAACCCAUUGGCAUAUGAGGUUAGGACACAAUAAUUUUAAAAAAAUGGAAAGAUUGAAAGCAUUCUUCAAAAUUAUAAGGGCGAUUUAUCAAAAGUGUGUGAAUCUUGUGUGCAAGAAAAACUAAUAAGGAAAAAUACCACCGGGGCAAAAAGAGCUAAUGCUAUUUUAAAAGUCAUUCAUAGUGACAUAUGUGGACUUAUGAAUGUGGCUACUAAAAGCGAUGAAAUAUUUCAUCACUUUUAUAAUAUGGCCAUGUAUAUCUUAUCCACACCAAGUCCGAAGCCUUAGAUAAAUUCAAAAUAUACAAAGCCGAAGUAGAAAAUCAAACUAACCUGAAAAUCAAAGUCCUUAGAACCGACAGAGGGGGGCAAUAUUCAUCUGAACUUUUUAAAGAACUCUGUGCAGAAACGAAAUUAUAGACCAGUACACCAUGCCCUAUACUCCCGAACAAAAUGGUGUUGCCGAGAGACGAAAUAAGACCUUGGUUGAAAUGGUAAGGAGUAUGAUGGGGCAUGCUAGACUUUCCCUAGACUUUGGGGGAGAAGUCGUGUUGACGGCAUGUUAUAUCCUUAAUCGCAAUCCCACAAAAGUUGCGCCACUUACUCCUCACGAAAUUUUCGCAAGUCAUGCUCCCUCCCUUGAUCACUUGAGAGUUUGGGGUUGUUCAGCCCAUGUCCUUAUCCCGUACCAAGAUAGGACCAAACUUCAACCUAAAACUGUUAAAACCAUUUUCAUUGGCUACCCAGACCAUGGUAAGGGGUAUCGAUUCUACAACCUUGUAACAAAGGCAGUCAUUGAGAGCCGUAAUGCUCAUUUCUUCGAGAAAGAAUUCCUUGAAGCAAGAUUGAAUAAAAAACAAGCCGACUUGUUUGAGGAAGCAAGAGACAAGGUUGUGCUUCAAGAACCCGAACCUGAAACUUCUAAUAAACCUGAGCCUGAACACAUUCUCUCAAGACAAAAUGAACCUGAACCUGAACCGAGACGCAGUAACCGUAUUAGUAGAUAUCCUCUAUACCUAGAACAAUAUGUCUACCUGGGGCAACAUUUUGAUAGAGUUGGAGAAGAUCCAGAUUCUGAACCUAGAACUUACCAUAAAGCCUUGUCCUGUCCUGAAAAGGAUUACUGGGUAGAAGCGAUGAAAGAUGAAUAUGCUUCCAUUAACCAAAACCAUGUAUGGGAAUUAGUGCCUCUACCUCGGAAGAGUAAGGCCAUUGAUUGCAAGUGGAUUUUCAAGGAAAAGUUUCCCUUAUAAGAUGGUGCGAGAUCCUCAAAACACUAAAUUGUGUUUCAGACAAGAUCCACUCUGUGAUCGAGAGAAUCGAAGUUCUGCAAGGGAUCGCCACGCAAGGAAGGCGAUCCCGGUAACUAUGAUUAGAACCAUAAUAAACUUAUAAACUACAGAUAACACAAGCAGUAAUAGAACAGAGAAGCAACAACUAAUGAACCAUUAUAGGAUUAGACGCAAUAAUGCCUUAGGGGUUUUCUAGAAUUAAGAAGCAAAAAUUCUCGAAUGUAGAGAGAAUAGAUAGAGGUGAUGUUUCUAGAUGGGGAAAUGGUAAAAGGGCGAUGGUUUUCCUUUUUCUUUUUUAACAAGGUAACAUAGCGAGGGUGAAAAAAUAAUAAAUUUAUACGCACAAGAGAAAGAUAUGUGCGUCUGCAUAUGUAUGUGAGCAUGUGUGUGUGAGAUAAUCUACAUGUAAAGACUCUUCAAAAUACAAAGGUUAAUAGUAGAAUAAAUUGGGAAAGAUGAAGAUAUGGUUUCUUUUUUAAAAAUAGUCACUGCUUAUGGGUAGCUUGCUCAUUAAGUAAGGCCACAUGACAAGGGAUAAUUUUGUUAUCUUAUAAGGACAUGGUUAAGAUUUUCACUAAAAGUCAAUAGUAUUUAUACCAAUGAACUUCUAGGACAUUGCUUCUAAAAUACCAUUGAACUAUUGUAAAAAUUUUAAACAUUGUUUAAAAAAUUGGUGAUCCGGAUCAGAACCGGCCGAUCUGUAAAGAAAGAGAAAUGCUCCUUUGGACAAACGCAUGUUCCUGCAGCAUUUGAUUGAAGGAGGGCUUUGUCGGAUGGGCAAAAUCAAAACCGAGUGGCAAGCACCUACCAAGGUGAGUGAGCUAAGGCCAAGAUCGUUUCGAGAAUUUGUCAAGUCGAUCCGAAUCCCGUAAAUUGUCGAGAAUCGACCGGUUCUCCCCAUGAACCGUCCGGUUCGUACUGGUUUUCUGAUGGAACCGGCUAGUUCUGUCAAAUAACUGGUACGAACUAGCUCCACCUUUCAUUUAUUUACUUAUUUAUUCAUUUAGUCACUGAACUGGCUAGUUCGGUCAAGAUUGCAGAUCUAGGUUGUCGAUCCGCCGAGCUGAACCAAACCAAAAAUCCAAACGAGUGAUCCGAGUCACUGAUUCGCUUUUUAAAACUUGGAUUUCAAACGAACCAUUACUUAAUGAGAAGAGCAAAAGGCCCAGGGCACAACAUGAUGUUACUAAUAUAAUAUAAUUUUUAAUCAAAAAAUAAUUAUUUUUUAUAAAAACACCUAUCUUCAACUCCUUAUAACAUUAAGAUCAGUAUUUUGAGGGGUUGUUAAUUAUAAACAAUAUGUGCAUGUCUACAUGUGUGUGUGUGUAAAUUUAAAAACCGCCACAUUGAACUCGAAACACUUGAUUCGACUAAGGAUCAAUGGGGGAGCAAUACGAUUCUUGGGAUUCCCUAUGUCAAGAUGUUCACAUUAGUUUUUAUUUUUAUUUUAAAUAAAAAUUUUGUUAUCCAACUUUGCCAAGUUGGCCGAGCUAGAUGGGAAUAGCUGAUAAGUUGGCAUUGGAUCACCUUCUUCUCCAAGAUCCACUUCAAUCAAGAUCCUCGACUUGUUGAGGCGUGGCCUCCUCCUCAAUGAUUGGCACCUAUUCUUCAUUUGGAAGUAGGGCCUUUUGGGUGGAUGUAAUCAUGACAGCCGUAAGAUCACGUCCAAUUCCCUUUUGAUUGUGGGGAAAGACAUUUACGUAAGAUCACGUCCAAUUCCCUUUUGAUUGUGGGGAAAGACAUUUACUUAAAACGGCUAUCUUAAAAUUUUAAACCUCGAUAAAUUGGGGGACCGAGUCCGAGAGAGAUUCCAGUUUUUAAAACCCUACAUAUAAGAUGACAGGCUUAUACUAUUGCAUAAGCCCAUUGAGAAAGUAGAGGUUCCUCAGACCCAAAUUUCAUAAGCAUGUAGAUCUGAUGCAGAUUAAAAUCUGGUUGCUACAAAUUUUAAUUCUAUUUUUUGUUAACUUUAUUUGUAGAUAAGUGGGUAGAUUUUUUUAGGUUAGUUUUUAGGAAUAUUAUUUAUUUUAAGACAAGGGUUGAAAUUUUUAGGAACCUUCUCUCUUAUUUUUAGGAUACUGUUUUUAUUCUAGGAAAUAUCAAUUUUUGUUAAUCUUAGAAAUAGACUUUAUCUUUUUGUAGGUAGAAUCAUUUACAUAUAUCUUUUAGGAGCUAUGGUAAAAUGUGGGUAUUAUAGAAUAGGUUGAUCGUUUUAUUAAGGAAUGGCUUGGGUGCUAUGGUAGUUAUCUUUUGUUUUAGAAAGGAAAGCGAUAAAUACGGAUUAGCUUGGGUUAGGUUAAAACUAGGAAAAAUAAUUGGUCACGUAGGUGGAAAUGAUGAAGUAGGGAGUUGAAGUUAUCUCAUAGGAAGUUGGAUUGAAUAAUAUGGAAAGAAUCUAGAGAUAGAUUUAUUUUGGUUAAUUAUCAUUUUUGGUUUUUAGUAAGGAGAUAUAUUAGGGAUUAUCUUUUGAGAGACAUGUGAGAUGUUGUUUUAAAUGUACAAAAGAAGAUGAAUGUAAGUUGUAAUGGGGGAUUGAAUUUUAUGAAUGAAAAAAAGUGAUCUUUGACAUCGUGUAGAGUGAAAGAGAGAGCCAUUUGUGGGUGUUGUUUCUUCUCUUGUGUUUAUGGGCCCGUAUCGAAAUACUUGUAUCCACGUGUUUCGUUCUUUCUUCUUGUGUUUAUGGGCCCGUGUUUAUAAGGCCAUAAACACAAGUUUUGUUCUUUCUUCUUGUUUUUUCUUGUGUUUAUGAGCCCGUGUCGGAAAACUCGUAUCCACGCAUUUUGUUCUUUCUUCUCUUGUGUUAUAGGCCCAUGUCGAAAUAAAAACCGUAAAAGAAAUUACAAGAAGAAAGAACAAAACGUAUAGAUACGAGUAUUCCAGCACUGGCCAAUAAGCAAAAGAGAAGAAAUAACACCCACAAAGGGCUCUCUCUCUCAUUCUAUAGGAUCUCAAAUAUCACUUUUUUUUUCAUUCAUACAAUUCAAUUUCCAUUACAUGGUGCGUGCCUCCUUCUUUUAUACAUUUAUAACACCAUCUCACGUGACUCUUAAAAGAUAAUCUCAAAUAUAAAAAUAAUAAUAAUAACUAACCAAAAUAAAUUUAUCUGUAGAUUCUUUCUAUAUUCUUCAAUCCAACUUCCUAAAAGAUAACUACAAUUCCUACUUCAUUCUUUCCACCUACGUGACCCCUUAUUUUCCUUAGUUUUAACCUAACCCAAACUAAUUUGUAUUUAUCCAUUUCCUUUCUAAAACAAAAGAAAAUACACUAACCCCAAGCUAUACCCUAAUAAAACGAUCAACCUAUUCUAUAAUACCCAUGUUUUUAUCAUAGCUCCUAAAAGAUAUAUGUAAAUGAUUCUACCCCACAAAAAGAUAAAGUCUAUUUCUAAGAUUAACAAAAAUGGAUAUUUCCUAGAAUAGAAACGCAAAAGAAGAAGACUUGGCUUUUAAAAAUACGAACUUAAUUUUCCUAAGUAAAACGGACUUCCUAAAAUUAGACUUUAUCAAUCUAAACUAAAAAUCCUAUUUUUAAUAAUUAACCCUAAUAAAUAAAAAUAAAAAAUCUACCCAAUCUAUAAAAUAAAAGUAAUAAAAACAUAAUUAAAAUGUUGUAGCCAAUAGAUUUUGAUCUGCAUCAUUCUCCCCUGGUUGGAAAAAACUUGACAUCGAGUUUUGAAGUGCGCUCAAAUCAAGUUUGUAUUAGUCCCACCACCUUCUUCAAUCUGAAUGUUGUAAACAUGAUCCUGGAGCCUGUAGGUUACUGUGUUGAUUAAAGCAUAAUGAUAGUGCUUAGAAACUGGGAAACCCUCGAGGAAAGGGUCAUCAUAUCUAGAUUUUUCAACCACAUAAACUUGCUGAAAUUGAUCAAAUUUUCCGAUGGCACACCACGUAUUCAUCACUAGAUUCGAUGAUCAAACCAGUUUCACCAUUUGAUUCUCCUUUAAGGCCUUCCUCUUCCUCUUCGUCAAAUAUAGGAUAUUCAUCAAAGAUGAGAUUACUUUCAUCUGGCUCUUCAUCAAAUAUAGGUUCAUCAAAUAUACGAUCUUCAUCAAAGAUGAGAUCACUUUCAUAUUCCUCUUGUUCUUCAUAAAAAACAGGCACUUCAUCAAAGAUGGGGUAACCUGUGACAUCAAAGAAUGAUGAGAUUCCGAUUGAAGAUCGGAAUCUACUUGUUCUUCAUUAGUGUUCCAAAAAGCAGACCGCCCAGCGCCUGGGCGGGGGCCUAGGCGGGUCUAGGGGCCCAGGCACAUCGCUCAGGCCUAGGCACCCUAAAAAGGUGGUGGUCCCUGAGCGCCCGCCCAGCGCCCAGAAUUGGGCGGCUGCCCAGGGACUACGCCCCACCCAGAGGCGGAAAACAGUUUCUUAAAAGCAUUUUUUAUCCGUUUUUUUUAUACUAAAAGGGCCAAAAAUGAGCGUUUUAGGUCCAUUUGAAACUUAAAACUUAUUGGAGCCCAUUUUAGAGAGAGAAGGCCCCCAAAAAACUAGUUUUUUGGUGAUUUCUUUAGGAUCGAAGGGUUUCUCAAAAUUACGAGAAAUUGAUCAAAACACCACCCAUUGAUAUUAGACUUACUUUUUUAUGUUUUAUAAAUCUAUUGGGGGGGUUUUUAGAAGAUUUUGAGUCCUUAGAAGCAUCUUUGAGGUGGAAGUAUAGUUGUCGGAAACGCCUGAGAACCCGAGUCAUUUUAGGAACCGGAAUUGAGGAAUCGCCGCCGGCUAGAAGAUUCUUGUCUUAGGAAUCGUUGUCUGUACAAUAGGUAUCAUGGGGAACGAGAUUCCUAGUUUUUGAGAAUUGUGUUUCGACUGAAAUAGAUCCAAGUUUCAUCCACAAUGGAAUCGAGAUUCGAUCCUCCUUAGAAUCGAGAUUUCCACGCCCCUAGAAUCGACACUCCAAGAGUCAAAAUUCAUUAAUAUGUGGAAUCGAGUUCCGACAUCUAUGGAAUCGAGUUUCUGACAUAUGUGGAACAAAGAUAUGUUGUUUCGAAUCGUGAUUCGAACAUAUUUGGAAUCAAGUUUCUGAAAUAUAUGGAUCAGAGAUCCAUGCCAGUUUGUGAUUGAGAUUUACAAUAACAUGGACUAUGAAAUGCGUUUGACGACCCCUACCAAGAAUCGAGAUUUUAUUUAUAUGCAGAAGGAAGCCCAAAGCACAUCUUGAGCCUUAUCAACUUUAGACCCUAUAUUGGAUGUCUCUUAUUAGAAGGUUUACCAAAUUUUAUAGUGUUUGUGUUCACUAUUAAACUUACAGUCAUUAUAUACAAAAGAUGACUAUUUCUAAAUUGUGAUCUUGACUUCAUUAUCAUAAAAACAAAAUAGGAUUAUGUCUACGCCAUGGUUUUACUUUUAAUUGUAUGUGUUGUAUUUACCGGUUAUAUUUUAAAUUUAAUGUAAAAGCCGUCUAGGGUGGCACAAGUAAAAUAAUGAAAACUUGCAACCAUUAGAAACAUUCGACAGAAGAUUUCUACUCCAAUUUCCUUUAGGAAAUGCACAACCAUCAUAGACAUUGAACAUUAUGUACUUUGAAUUGGUUUUUUUUUUUUUAUACUUUGAAUUUAUUUAUUUUUGAAUCAAGAUUUAAUCAUCGCAAGAAUACAAAUUCGAUAUAUUUGGGAAAGUUUACCCACAAUUACUGGGUUCAAGUUUCUAAAGAUGUGUUGGAUCGAGAUUCUGAAAUUAAGGAAUUCAGUUUCCUUGGUUCCGAUAAAUGGUUUCUAAAGAUGUAUUGAAUCAAGAUUCGGAAAUUAAGGAAUCGAGUUUCCUUGGUUCCCAAAAAUAGUUUCUAAAGAUGUGUUGAAUCGAGAUUCUGAAAUUAAGGAAUCGAGGUUUCCUUGGUUCCAAAAAACGGUUUCCGUGGAGAUUCCUUAACAGAACCACGGAAUCGGGUUUCAGAACCAGAAUCGCGAGGUUGGUGGGGAGAUUCCGGUAACUAUGGGUGAAAGUUUGGAGAUUGAGCAAUCAAACUCAAAGUAAGUGAUUUUUUUUAUUGCUUGUACAAAUUGCAUUAUUUUUAGAUGUCUUCUUCGGGAUCUAAUAAGAUUGGUGAUCCCAGUUGGAAAUAUAGCUACAACCCAAAUCCUAUUGAUAAAAAUUGCAUAAGAUGUAAUUUUUGUAAGAAGGAUACAAAAUGGGGCAUAAACCGGUUCAAAAAACAUAUUGCCGGUAUCAAGGGGGAUGUUGCCCCAUGUAAAAAGGCUCCUAAUGAUGUUAAAGAAGAAAUAACCAAUUUUUUUAAUAUGGUAAAAAUGGAAAACGAUGAGAGAUUUGCCUCCAUAACAGAGAUUAGAUUAGGGGUUCGGGUCAAUUAUGAUGAUGAUGAUAGUGUUGAGGAUGGGAUUGGGGAGGGAUGUCAAGAGGUAGAAGUAGAACAAUCCAUUAUUAGGGGAAAGGGAAAUGGCUUCUGGUUCUGGGAGUAAGAAGCUUCAGGUUAGAGGCCCUAUGGAUAGUUAUUUGCCUCGGCCUGACCCUGAGGUUGCAGGAGAGAAAAGAAGGAAGCAAACCACCAUUAAAAAUAGAAUGAAGAAGGAAGAGAGAGAUAGAGCUGCUUAUUAUCUUGCUACAUGGUUUUAUGAGGCGGGUAUUCCUUUCAAUACCGCUCGCUUAAGCAGCUUCUAGCCGUGGUAGAGGCAAUUGGCCAAUUUGGGCCUGGGAUGAAACCCCCAACCACAUAUGAGCUUUCAAAGCCUCUUUUGAAAAAGGCGGCGAGUAUCAUGAAGGAAGCUGUAGAAGUUAAGAAGGAUGCAUGGACUCAAUGUGGGGUUUCUAUUAUGACUGAUGCUUGGAGUGAUAGGAAGAGAAGAAGACAGAGGAAUUUGCUUAUGCAUGCUAAUUCAGCGACCAACCGCUAAGCCUAAUCCAAAGAGCCAUCAACUUUUGCUCCUUAGGUAACCCUGGACAGGAGGGUUGUUGAGGGGCUUGUUGCAAGAUACUACAUUGCAGGUUGUGUUUACAUACUGUGGUUCUAUUAGUAUAGUGAACUCGACCAUGGAGGAACACCAUGCCCUGCUGGGAGGAAUUAAACUGUAUGACUGUAGUUCGGGCCACUCCCUCCUUGUCAGUUGCGACUCCUAAAACAUUAUAGCCUGGGCCUCCAAAAAGUCCACAAAUACCCUAACGCUCUUACUAGAUUUUUUGGCUUUUAGAUUAUCAAUAACUAGCUUUCAAACAUGUCUGAAGACAAUAUAACGCCAAAGCCAAUGCUUUUGCUAAGCAAAGGGCUUUGGGUUCUCAAUUGGUGGUCUCUAGUAACUAGUAUGGUUCACAAAGUUGAAGCUAUAAACCACCAUGAUAUUUUCUCUAAACAAAUCUCAUUCAUUACCAUCUGUCUCCUCCUAGAAGACAUACUUAACACUGAACCCAAUUUAAUCCUGGUUAUAAACUUGUCAAAACCAGAUUUUACACUACACCAAAUAGAGGCAAGUUUAUUGGUCUAAACUAAGAAGUUUCUUUCACUAAAUCUAUCAAACAACUUGUGUUCAAUAUCUAAGAAACAAAAUUUACUACACAUUGAAGAAUAGCAGCACCACAGACAUAGCUUGUAAGUGCUAAAUUCCCUCUUUCCAACUUAACAUGCUAGGGACGAAAGGAUAUAGCUUAUUAUUCCAUUGCCAUAUAAACCUUUUAAUGAAAACUCAUACCUUUUUCCAUAAAAUGAGAUUUUCUAGUGAAACCUUAUAAUGAAAGCUCAUACCUUUUUCCAUAAAAUGAGAUUUUCCAAUGAUUAAUGAAUGAGGGAUAGAAGACAAUCUUAUACACUAACUCAUUCAAGUAGCAACUCAGGAAAAAUGCAUAUGAAAAAUCCACAGAUUAUUGUUUUCUGUUUAUUUUAGAAUCUAGAGAAACUAUCAAGUAAAUGAAGUGCAGUAUCAAGAAAACGUGAACUGUGUAAAUUCUCGAUAAAAUACAAUACAAUCUGUAAAAUAAAAGAAGACGAUGUAAUUUCUAUAAUUCCAGAGAAAAAAAUCUAGGUAUUUCAGUGAUGACAAACGUUUUAAGAUCUAUAUAACCUAAUUUAGAGAGAAACACUAAUUAAAUUACCCUAAUUUUGAGAAAAACUUAAAAUACCCUAAAUUACAUUAAUUUCUAUAGAUGUGUGGAAAAUUUUGUUGAAAUAAGACAAAAUACUGUAAAUUUUUAAAAUUUUAGAGAAAACCCCUGAAAAUUUUAUUGAUGUUCACAGUUUUUUUUGGUAAGAUCCUAAACUCUAGCUUUUUCAGAACCCAAUUACAUAGAAAAUCAUAAUUUCAAAGUACCAAACGAAUAAAAAAUCCUAGUUCUCUGUAAGUAUGUUGAAAAUUUUCUUAAUACUUUAAAUUUUAAAAUUUUAGAGAAAACCCAUGAAAUAGAAGGGUUUUUCAGUUAAAUCCUAAUUUCUAGCUUUGUAAAAGCCUAAUUUCAUAGAAAACCAUUAUUUCAAAGGAAAAGCCUAAUUAAAAAUCCUAAUUUAAACUAAACUCCCAAUACAAAGUGAACCCUAAUUUCAGAGAAAAAAAUUAUCCGGUAAAAUCCUAAUUUCGCUAAAGCUAAUCUUGGAGAGAGCAUCUAAUUUGAGAGAUUAAAUUUUGUUUAAAAAUAUAUCUAUGUAAAAGCCAUGCUUAACAAUGAAGAUCACAAAGGAAGAGGAAGAACCCGACACGAUGCUUUUGAAUCAGUGGCAACAACACAAUGCAAUCCGUGUGUUUAAGAGGCCAGAGAGUGAGCUAGGAUCAAGCAAUAACGGGUGAUAGUGAGACAGGUUAGAGAGAGAAUCUUUCAGAAGGAAGCGGUCCCAGAGUUGAAUUUGUAGGGAGAGAGUGGCACGAGAGAGAGUAGACCAUACCCGAAGCUCCUCUUUGUUUCUCUCUCUAGCUCUCCCUCCAACUGUACUCCGUCACAAUGAGGAACUCAGUUAUUUGAUGCUCGCAUCCGGAUCGUCGAUGUGGAUAGGAAUAAAAAAUAAAUAAAUUUAAAAAUUAUAAUUUCAUUAAAACAAACGUAAAGUUUAUAAGAUUUAAAAAUCGGCGGGUCGCAACAUACUCACCCGAUAACCGUCCGAUACUAUGUAAAAUCUGGAAUCGCCCAGUUCUG